rnacentral:lncRNA from 1 species
GAGAGAGCUGACGAAAAAAAAAUUCUCAUCUUCUUUUUCUUUCUUAUCUCCUUGCAGGUGCCUCCCAUUGGUCAAACCUAACCCGAAGCCAGAGGGCAAGGGAAGCCGUUAAUGCAGUCUGCACAGACAUCGACUGCUUGUGACUUGCCUAUCUCUCCUGAGGAUCGUGUCCGCGAGAGAACUGAACAUUUAUCUCAAUUUUUGUAAAAUAAAAAAUAUGUAUGUGUAAUAUAUACAUCUAUAGCAUAUAUGUACAUAUAUAAUAUAUAUUAUACACACACACACAUAUACACACACAUAUCUUUAUACCUUAAUUUAUUCUAAAAAAGAUUUAGGGUGGCUUGCAAAGUUACACCCAGUACUUGGAGAGAGCCU